AUAAAGCACAGUUUUACACUAUUUAUAUUCAACAUUUAACUGUUCGUCUUAAAAGAAAUUGUGAUUAGUAUUCUUGUUAGUAUCAGAUGAUAAGAUAUGAACAAUUUUUUAUGUGUGACUAUUUUUUAAAAAAGAAAAUUAUAAAUUUUUAAAAUAAAACGAAUAUCAAACGUUGGACACGAAUAUCCAUGGCUGCACUUAUU
rnacentral:pre_miRNA from 1 species